GGCAGGAUCCCACGCGGCGUCCAUCUUGUGAACUCCCCCAGGGCAGGAAUGCAGCAAGGGUCAACGAGCUCUGACGGGUGCGUGGGGUCCCCUUAUUUU
rfam:Corynebacterium doosanense CAT 212 = DSM 45436, complete genome.